rfam:Trichomalopsis sarcophagae strain Alberta scaffold1933, whole genome shotgun sequence.
AAAUCGGCCCUUUUCAGGGCCAAAGAAAUGGAACCGGAAAUCCCCCU